rnacentral:rRNA from 1 species
UACAGAGGUCCCGAGCGUUGUUCGGAAUUACUGGGCGUAAAGGGCGCGUAGGCGGCCCGGCAAGUUGAAAGUCAAAUAAUGCGGCUCAACCGCGCUUCGCUUUCAAAACUGCCGGGCUAGAGGUUUGCAGAAGAAACUGGAAUUUUCGGUGUAGCAGUGAAAUGCGUAGAUAUCGAAAGGAACAUCAGUGGCGAAAGCGAGUUUCUAGGCAACACCAGACGCUGAGGCGCGAAAGCCAAGGUAGCAAACGGG